rnacentral:rRNA from 1 species
CAGCAGCCGCGGUAAUACGGAGGUCCCAAGCGUUGUUCGGAAUCACUGGGCGUAAAGGGAGCGUAGGCGGCGUGGUAAGUCAGAUGUGAAAUCCCGGGGCUCAACCCCGGAACUGCAUCCGAUACUGCCAUACUUGAGGGUUGGAGAGGUGACUGGAAUUCUCGGUGUAGCAGUGAAAUGCGUGGAUAUCGAGAGGAACACUCGCGGCGAAGGCGAGUCACUGGACAACAUCUGACGCUGAGGCUCGAAGGCUAGGGUAGCGAAAGGGAUUAGAUACCCGAGUAGUCCCUGUCUCUUAUAC